UGAUCGUGUCUGCGGAAGGAGCACACGGAGAACAAGAUGAAUAAAAAAGAGAGAAAAGAAUGAAGUGAGGCGAGAAAAAUUGAAUUUGAACAAGCGCCCAAAUCAAACAGGUGGGCGGAGUCUAACAGCAAGACACA
ensembl:ncRNA C50C3.16 ncRNA